rnacentral:rRNA from 1 species
GAUGAACGCUGGCGGCGUGCCUAAUACAUGCAAGUCGAGCGAAUGGAUUAAGAGCUUGCUCUUAUGAAGUUAGUGGCGGACGGGUGAGUAACACGUGGGUAACCUGCCCAUAAGACUGGGAUAACUCCGGGAAACCGGGGCUAAUACCGGAUAACAUUUUGAACCGCAGGGUUCGAAAUUGAAAGGCGGCUUCGGCUGCCACUUAUGGAUGGCCCCGCGUUGCAUUAGCUAGUUGGGUAGGUAACGGCUCACCAAGGCAACGAUGCGUAGCCGACCUGAGAGGGUGAUCGGCCACACUGGGACUGAGACACGGCCCAGACUCCUACGGGAGGCAGCAGUAGGGAAUCUUCCGCAAUGGACGAAAGUCUGACGGAGCAACGCCGCGUGAGUGAUGAAGGCUUUCGGGUUGUAAAACUCUGUUGUUAGGGAAGAACAAGUGCUAGUUGAAUAAGCUGACACCUUGACGGUACCUAACCAGAAAGCCACGGCUAACUACGUGCCAGCAGCCGCCGUAA